rnacentral:rRNA from 1 species
GACGAACCGUGCGAACGUUAUUCGGAAUCACUGGGCUUAAAGCGCGUGUAGGCGGGUCGGCGCGUCGGUCGCUGAAAGCCCCCGGCUCAACCGGGGAAGGGGCGCCGAGACGGCCGGCCUGGAGGGGGGUAGGGGGAGCCGGAACUUCCGGUGGAGCGGUGAAAUGCGUUGAGAUCGGAAGGAACGCCCGUGGCGAAAGCGGGCUCCUGGGCCCCGCCUGACGCUGAGACGCGAAAGCUAGGGGAGCGAACGGG